UACGUAGGGUGCAAGCGUUAAUCGGAAUUACUGGGCGUAAAGCGUGCGCAGGCGGUGAUGUAAGACAGGUGUGAAAUCCCCGGGCUUAACCUGGGAACUGCAUUUGUGACUGCAUCGCUGGAGUGCGGCAGAGGGGGAUGGAAUUCCGCGUGUAGCAGUGAAAUGCGUAGAUAUGCGGAGGAACACCGAUGGCGAAGGCAAUCCCCUGGGCCUGCACUAACGCUCAUGCACGAAAGCGUGGGGAGCAAACAGG
rnacentral:rRNA from 1 species